AUGGCCAUUUAUAGAAACACUAUAUACAGUUAAUCUCAUCAUCAUUUGUCACUGAAUGCCGUUGCAGCGCACAGUUCCACAGCUGCUCAAAAAAAAAAAAAAAAAAAAAAAAAAAAGCCCACUAUUUGAAUGUCCAGUGGGAAGUGGGAAAAGUCCGUGUUGGGGGUGAGUGUGUGCAGUGGAUGUGUGGUCCGUGCGUGUGUGGCAAAAGGGCAAGAGUUAGAAAGAGGAGUGGCUGCACAAUGGAGCCUCCUACCAGCCCGACUACUGCAGUGGAGGUCAUUCGAUAACAAGGUGGGAUUCCUCUGCAGAGAUUGAAGCAGCUUCACUUGUCAGCAAACAGACGGGAUCAUCGCUUUGUACUGGAGCCCUGUUAUCUCUGACUAUGUGAUAAGGAACUCCACAGAGUUUCCCUAUCUGGAGGAAGAAGAAAGACAGACCUGAAUGUCAGGGAUUGUUUCUGUCUUGGCCAACAUCUCCACACCAACACCACACCAGGUGAUCUCAAAAGAAAGCCAAUCCCUGAGGAGUCCUUCAUGUCUCAAUCGGGGUUCGCAUUCAAAUGACGGUGCAUCCUGAGCCAUCCGGAUGGCACCAAGGCACGGAAACAAUAUUCAUUCUGAACCUUUCCUUUUUAAGUACAAGCAAGCCAAUUCAGUCUUGUGUAAGCAAUUUAUUCUGCAGUGCUGAUACAGCUAAGUGAUGUGAUACAUCUCAUACAAGGAAAUUACAAUCUUUUUGAAAUGUAGGCGCCUUGAUUCACAGUACAUGUAUAUCACUGAUUCUUGAGAAUUUGGAGAAAAACUGGUUUUAAUUUUGAAAAUACAAAAAAUCCAACAUUAAGAAAUCUGUACUUAUAUGUUUAUAGAGCAAAUUCUCAGCAAUCAGCUAAUGACUCGGUGUAACCUCCUGACUUGAAUUUUUUCAUAAAAUGUCUGUUUUUCAGUUCAUUACUUCAUUUUUGCCAGCACACUCAGACACAAAAAAAGCGCAUUAUUCCCAUUUAUUUAGUGUGAUAUAGAUUUAGAGCCGUUUGAAGAAUGUGCCUUAACCUUAAGUGCACAAUGAUUUUGUUAAAUGUUCAAUAUUCUGUUUUAAUCACUUUUUAUGCUGUUUUACGUGUGCACUUUGAAAACUCCUACAUUAUGUGAGUCUUAUAAUUUGAAUUAAAUAUGAAAAAUAACAGUUCUGAACAUAAAUUAAUACAGUUUUGAUUUAAAAAAAAAAAUGUUCCU